rnacentral:ncRNA from 1 species
UUUUAUGAGAGUUUGAUCCUGGCUCAGGAUGAACGCUGGCGGCAUGCCUAAGACAUGCAAGUCGUACGAAGCGGCCCAAUGAUUUGUUUAGAAGCACUGAGAGCUUGCUCAAAGUGUGAAAGAAUAAUGAUUUGGAUUUUCCGCUUAGUGGCAAACGGGUGAGUAACACGUGGGUUACCUACCUCCUAGAUGGGGAUACCAAUUGGAAACGAUUGUUAAUACCGAAUGUGAUCUAUGGAUUAAAGAAGCCUUUAAAGCUUCGCUAGGAGAUGGGCCUGCGGUGCAUUAGAUAGUUGGUGGGGUAAUGGCCUACCAAGUCGACGAUGCAUAGCUGAACUGAGAGGUUGAUCGGCCACAUUGGGACUGAGACACGGCCCAAACUCCUACGGGAGACAGCAGUUAGGAAUAUUCGUCA